GAGGCUAUAGCUUAAUUGGUAGAGCAUACUGCUCAUGACAGUACUAAUGAGUGUUCGACUCACUCUAGCCUUA